GAUGAACGCUGGCGGCGUGCCUAAUACAUGCAAGUCGAGCGAACAGACGAGGAGCUUGCUCCUCUGACGUUAGCGGCGGACGGGUGAGUAACACGUGGAUAACCUACCUAUAAGACUGGGAUAACUUCGGGAAACCGGAGCUAAUACCGGAUAAUAUAUUGAACCGCAUGGUUCAAUAGUGAAAGACGGUUUUGCUGUCACUUAUAGAUGGAUCCGCGCCGCAUUAGCUAGUUGGUAAGGUAACGGCUUACCAAGGCAACGAUGCGUAGCCGACCUGAGAGGGUGAUCGGCCACACUGGAACUGAGACACGGUCCAGACUCCUACGGGAGGCAGCAGUAGGGAAUCUUCCGCAAUGGGCGAAAGCUUGACGGAGCAACGCCGCGGGAGUGAUGAAGGUCUUCGGAUCGUAAAACUCUGUUAUUAGGGAAGAACAAAUGUGUAAGUAACUAUGCACGUCUUGACGGUACCUAAUCAGAAAGCCACGGCUAACUACGUGC
rnacentral:rRNA from 1 species